UACCUGCAGCUCGAGUGGUAACCGCUAUUAUUGGGCCUAAAGCGUCCGUAGCCGGUUUGGUAAACAUCUGGGUAAAUCGUGAGGCUUAACUUCACGAAUUUCGGAUAGACUGCCAGACUUGGGAUCGGGGGAGGUCAGAGGUACUCCAGGGGUAGCGGUGAAAUGUCGUAAUCCUUGGAGGACCACCGGUAGCGAAGGCGUCUGACUAGAACGAGUCCGACGGUGAGGGACGAAGCCCUGGGGCGCAAACCGGAUUAGAUACCCGGGUAGUCCAGGGUGUAAACUAUGUGGGCUUUGUAUUGGAGGUCCCACGUGGGCGUCCAGUGCAGAAGAGAAGUUGUUAAGCCCACCGCCUGGGAAGUACGGUCGCAAGGCUGAAACUUAAAGGAAUUGGCGGGGGAGCACAGCAACGGGAGGAGCGUGCGGUUU
rnacentral:rRNA from 1 species